UGCAUUCACUACUGUAAGUCACUCUGGAUAAGAGCGUCUGCUAAAUGGCUAAAA
rfam:Salmo salar isolate Sally breed double haploid chromosome ssa17, whole genome shotgun sequence.